rnacentral:misc_RNA from 1 species
GAUGAAGAACGUAGCGAAAUGCGAUAAGUAAUGUGAAUUGCAGAAUUCAGUGAAUCAUCGAAUCUUUGAACGCACAUUGCGCCCAUUAGUAUUCUAGUGGGCAUGCCUGUUCGAGCGUCAUUAAGUCCACUUAAGCCCUGCUUAGUGUUGGGAGACUGCUCCAGCGGUGCUACCCUGUAGCUACCCUGCAGCUCCUCAAAGACAGCGGCGGAGUUGUGGUAUCCUCUGAGCUUAGUAACUUGUUCUAGCUUUCGAGUACACCACUUCCCCUGCCGUAACCCCCUUAAUUUUUAAUGGUUGACCUCGGAUCAGGUAGGAAUACCCGCUGAACUUAAGCAUAUCAAUAAGCGGAGGA